rnacentral:rRNA from 1 species
ACGCUCGACACCUACGGGGGGCAAGCAGUGGGGAAUAUUGGGCAAUGGAGGCAACUCUGACCCAGCAACGCCGCGUGAAUGAUGAAGGUCUUCGGAUUGUAAAGUUCUGUGACGGGGGACGAACACAAUGACGGUACCCCGAUAGCAAGCCACGGCUAACUACGUGCCAGUAGCCGCGGUAAUCUGAGCGGGCUGGCAAGGC